rnacentral:rRNA from 1 species
CAGUCGCCGCGGUAAUACGAAGGGGGCUAGCGUUGUUCGGAUUUACUGGGCGUAAAGCGCACGUAGGCGGAUCCUUAAGUCAGAGGUGAAAUCCCAAGGCUCAACCUUGGAACUGCCUUUGAUACUGGGGAUCUCGAGUUCGGGAGAGGUGAGUGGAACUGCGAGUGUAGAGGUGAAAUUCGUAGAUAUUCGCAAGAACACCAGUGGCGAAGGCGGCUCACUGGCCCGAUACUGACGCUGAGGUGCGAAAGCUAGGGGAGCAAACAGGAUUAGAUACCCCUGUAGUCCCUGUCUCUUAUAA